rnacentral:tRNA from 1 species
UCCGCAGUCGUCCAGUGGUUAGGAUAUGUCGCUUUCACCGAUAAGACCGGGGUUCAAUUCCCCGUUGCGGAA